rnacentral:rRNA from 1 species
CCUGAAACCGUAUGCGUACAAGCAGUGGGAGCCUACUUGUUAGGUGACUGCGUACCUUUUGUAUAAUGGGUCAGCGACUUAUAUUCAGUGGCAAGCUUAACCGUAUAGGGUAGGCGUAGCGAAAGCGAGUCUUAAUAGGGCGUUUAGUCGCUGGGUAUAGACCCGAAACCGGGCGAUCUAUCCAUGAGCAGGUUGAAGGUUAGGUAACACUGACUGGAGGACCGAACCCACUCCCGUUGAAAAGGUAGGGGAUGACUUGUGGAUCGGAGUGAAAGGCUAAUCAAGCUCGGAGAUAGCUGGUUCUCCUCGAAAGCUAUUUAGGUAGCGCCUCAUGUAUCACUCUGGGGGGUAGAGCACUGUUUCGGCUAGGGGGUCAUCCCGACUUACCAAACCGAUGCAAACUCCGAAUACCCAGAAGUGCCGAGCAUGGGAGACACACGGCGGGUGCUAACGUCCGUCGUGAAAAGGGAAACAACCCAGACCGCCAGCUAAGGUCCCAAAGUUGUGGUUAAGUGGUAAACGAUGUGGGAAGGCUUAGACAGCUAGGAGGUUGGCUUAGAAGCAGCCAUCCUUUAAAGAAAGCGUAAUAGCUC